GUGAUACAGCACUAUAUAUUAUAAACUACAGUCUUCAUUGGCACUUACUGUAGCACAGGCUCCUCCCAGCAGUCAGACCAAAUGACUUGAAUUUACUGCUGCUUUAACAGAUACAGAAAGAGGAAGAAGAUCACAACAUCUCUGCAUAUAUCCUUGGGGAUUUCAAUUGUGUAUAAUGGCACUCUGGAAAAGUGUCAUUGUGAUCAUAUUUUUAUAUAUCUGGGGAUGUAAAUCUCAAGACAAAGUUGAUCAGCACACAAAGAUUCAGUCUGCUUUUGAAGGUUAUGAUGUAACAAUCAACUGUACAUAUCAGACGUCUUACCCAACCCCGACUCUCUUCUGGUACCAGCAGAAAGUUAAUGGGAUCCCCAAGUACAUGUUGAACAGAUACUCUAACACUGGACAAAAUGAGGAUGAAUUCGAGGAGAGAUUUCAAGCAAAUCUCAGCAAAACUUCAGUUCCUCUGACAAUCAAGAACCUGUGUGUGUCUGACUCUGCUGUGUAUUACUGUGCUCUGAAGCCCACUGUGACUCAAACACACUCAACACUCACACAAAAACUCUCACAGUGCAACAGCAUCAGUUACAUAAUUAUGCUGUUUCAAUUUGUGUUAGAAUAAAUCACUUUAUCUAUGAUUUAAUUUUUAAAAAGCUUUUUAUCUAUAUAUAUAUUCAUAUAUACACGUCUUCACAAA